GGGCAGCGCUCCGCCGCGGGAGUGGCGGGCGGGCGGUGCACCUGCGAGCGGCGAGACGAGCAGGGCGGGCGACGAGGAGCCGACCGGAGGCGCGCAGCGAGCCGGCGGCCGCGCAGCCCGGCCCGGCGUGUCCAGGCGCCGCGGCCGCGAGGCGAUGGAGCAGGAGAAGUACCUGCCCGAGCUGAUGGCCGAGAAGGACAGCCUGGAUCCCUCCUUUGUUCACGCGAUGCGCCUCCUGGCAGACGAAAUUGAAAAAUUUCAGGGUUCUGAAGGCAAGAAGGAAGAUGAAGAAAAGAAAUAUCUCGAUGUUAUCAGCAACAAAAACAUAAAGCUGUCAGAAAGAGUUCUGAUCCCUGUCAAACAAUAUCCUAAGUUCAAUUUUGUUGGGAAAUUGCUUGGACCAAGAGGGAACUCCUUGAAGAGGUUACAAGAAGAAACAGGAGCAAAAAUGUCCAUCCUCGGGAAAGGAUCCAUGCGGGAUAAAGCUAAGGAGGAAGAACUAAGGAAAAGUGGAGAAGCCAAAUACGCGCACUUGAGUGAUGAGCUUCACGUAUUAAUUGAAGUGUUUGCUCCACCUGGAGAGGCGUAUUCUCGUAUGAGUCAUGCCUUGGAAGAAAUAAAAAAAUUCCUCGUUCCUGACUAUAAUGAUGAAAUUCGCCAGGAACAGCUGAGAGAACUGUCAUAUUUGAAUGGUUCUGAGGAUUCAGCACGUGGACGGGGCAUUCGAGGAAGAGGUAUUCGUGUGCCACCUGCAGCUCCUUCAAGGGGACGUGGGGGUGCGAUUCCUCCUCCCCCGCCUGGAAGAGGUGCCCAAGCACCCCGAGGAGCACCAGUGACCCGUGGAGCCCUCCCAGUCCCACCAGUGGCGAGAGGUGUCCCCACCCCUCGAGCAAGGGGCGCCCCAGCUGUCCCGGGCUACAGACCACCCCCGCCACCUGCACACGAGGCCUAUGAAGAAUAUGGAUAUGAUGAUGGAUAUGGAGGUGAAUAUGACGAACCAAACUAUGAGGCAUAUGAUAACAGUUAUGCCACCCAAACACAAAGUGUGCCUGAAUAUUAUGACUACGGUCACGGAACAAGUGAAGAGGCUUACGACAGCUACGCACAAGAAGAAUGGGCUACAACCCGUUCCAGCCUAAAGGCACCACCUCCAAGGUCAGCCAGAGGGGGUUACAGGGAACACCCCUAUGGUAGAUAUUGAAGGUCCUCCUCAUCUGUGACCUCAUCUCAAAGACAAUUAUUAGCCUGUGGUCUCCACAUAAACAGCAACAAGACAAGGACUCACCUGCACUGGACAGCUAAGCAGCAGAUCUGCUGAGAAGUGGUCAGCUUUUUGGAGCCUUAGGGAAGCACUGUAGCUUUUGAACGCUGUUCAGGGAAUUGAGAGUCUUCGACAUCGUUUGCAAUAAAUCAGUGGGAUCUGAAAGACUGUGCCUCAGGUUGGGACUCACAGCCCCAAGUUCUGGACCUGCCACUACCACCCUCUUUAGGAAAUGCCAGCACUGAGACUUAUGGUGAUCUUCCAGUCUAUCAGGUGAGCUAGUUUAAUCAAGAAAAAAAAAAAAAAGUGUCUAAUGAACAGCAAUUUGAAGCACAGCAUUUGGAAAGGUCAGAAUGGUACAUUACAUCCUUAUUAUCCAAAAGAACAGAUGACUUUAAUAUCCUGGCAGCAUUUUCCUGUGAAGAAGAUAUUAAACAAGAACUGAAAAUGGCACAAGGUUGCCUCUUACUUUCUUCUGACAAAGACUGCAACAAGAUGAUUAAACGGUACAGAAUAAAUCUCUUUCUAAUGUUCAGUUGUAGAUCCUGCCUACAUUUCAAAAACCUAAGCUAACCGGAGUGCCAAAACACAUGCUAUUUGUUUCAGGUCCCUUAGAACUCAUUUUACUGCUUAUAUGACCCAGUUUCCAUUAAUAUUUUCUGGUCUUAAAGAUGGAAAGGCAUAUUAAUUAAAGGUACACAAUGCAACGAGUUUUGUCAAAUGCUUGUGUUGAAUUACAACAAAAUAAGCACUACAACAGCACUGCUUAAAAUAUAGGGGUUUCAGCUUCUGUUUGAAAAGACCUAACAACAGAGAUAAUGUAUUCCAACAUGCAAUGCACUGCAUGUGUCCUGUUUUGGAGAGUCCUUGAAGGUAUGGAACUGUUUGGAAGCAAAGGAACUUUUAGUGUAUAUCUUGUUAACAAUUUCAUUAAUGUAAGGAGCUGUCACAUUCCUUAAACCAUUAUCUGUAUGAAGACUCUUACUUUAUAGGUCUAAGGAGAGCAAAAAAUCUUCUGGAGCUUGAUGUUGUAUUUUAAUGUUAAAACACACUAUCAGGGUUCUCAUGUUAAAUCUUCUUAUGACAAAUGAACAAAUGCUAUGCUUAAAAAUCAAAAAAUUAGUAUAUAGCCUACACCUGUAUUAGUUAGUAGUCAUCAUUCCACAUGAGAUAUGAGGUCUGCCAUUACAUAAGAAUGUAACAAGUUCAAUAUUAAAGAUAUUCAUAAUUAUUAAAGAAAACACUUUACAUUAUUCCAGAAGAUCAGAAGAUAUCUGUUUUGAAGUAUUGCUGGCUGAAGUAGACCUACGUGGAUUUGCACAAGCUCACAAGUAGAAAUCAUAUGGAACCUUUUUUUUCCACACCACCCAGGGAAUACAUUUGAAAAGAAAUUUCUCCAUGGUACAUUACAUGCAGCAUCUUGCUGAGAAAAAUCAUUCUGCUUCAGUCAAGAGAGAUAAAAUGAACAUUUCCAAUAUAUGUUUUCAGUGCCUCGAAUAUAUAUGUGUGUGUGUCUGUGUGUAUAUGUGCAUGCACUGUUGUCUUUUUCUGCACCUUAGGUGAUUUUAUUUUCCACUGGAGAUUUUAAAUGUAUUUUUCAUCCUUUAUUUUGCAGAUAUAAAGUAGGAUAGUUUUUACAGUGCACUGGCAAUAUGCGACCUAUUUUGAAACUCAGAAGGUUAUGCAAAACUGUAGUCAGAAAUCCCUAAUGGGUCUUCUUUUCAUAAAUACCUACAGAAAUUAAUGUUUUCCAUAUGCCUAGAAAAUAUCCACUAGAUACAAGUUUCAAUCAAGUUCCUUGUAAUUCAGCUAAUAGUCCCUGACACUGUAGUGACUACAGCCGAGUAUGCAGCCUACAGGAAAUAAUUAGCAAAACUCUGUUUUUUCAGUUCCUGAUUAUUAUCCACAAUAGAACUGAGUAUUAUAAUUUGAGUCACUAAGAGCUCUGACCAUUUAUACUUUUGCUAUGAAAACAUAAAAUAUAUGCUGCUGUA